rnacentral:piRNA from 1 species
GACAACUCGUAGGACUGUAUUAAAG